GACGAACGCUGGCGGCGUGCUUAACACAUGCAAGUCGAACGAAGUGGCGAACGGGUGAGUAACGCGUAAUCAACCUGCCCUUCAGAGGGGGACAACAGUUGGAAACGACUGCUAAUACCCCAUACUGAAGAAGGGGAUUGCGUCUUAUUAGCUAGUUGGGGGGGUAACGGCCCACCAAGGCGAUGAUUAGUAGGCGGGCUUGGAGAAUGAACGUCCACAUUGGGCCUGAGACACGGCCCAGACUCCUACGUGAGGCACAAGGGGGGAAUUUUCCGAAAUGGACGAAAGUCUGACGGAGCAACGCCGCGUGAGUGAUGACGGCCUUCGGGUUGUAAAGCUCUGUUAAUCGGGACGCGGUACCGGAAUAGAAAGCCACGGCUAACUCCGUGCCAGCAGCCGCGGUAAUAC
rnacentral:rRNA from 1 species